rnacentral:rRNA from 1 species
AACGAACGCUGGCGGCAUGCCUAACACAUGCAAGUCGAACGAACCCUUCGGGGUUAGUGGCGCACGGGUGCGUAACGCGUGGGAACCUGCCUUUAGGUACGGAAUAACAGUUAGAAAUGACUGCUAAUACCGUAUAAUGUCUUCGGACCAAAGAUUUAUCGCCUUUAGAUGGGCCCGCGUUGGAUUAGCUAGUUGGUGGGGUAAAGGCCUACCAAGGCGACGAUCCAUAGCUGGUCUGAGAGGAUGAUCAGCCACACUGGGACUGAGACACGGCCCAGACUCCUACGGGAGGCAGCAGUGGGGAAUAUUGGACAAUGGGCGCAAGCCUGAUCCAGCAAUGCCGCGUGAGUGAUGAAGGCCUUAGGGUUGUAAAGCUCUUUUACCAGGGAUGAUAAUGACAGUACCUGGAGAAUAAGCUCCGGCUGACUCCGUGCCAGCCGCCGCCGUAA